AGUUGUCCAGGUUCUGGCGUCGCUGCGGUUGGCGAAACUGAAGUAGGCUAGGUCGGCGGACUACCCAAGGUCAGAGAGUGUGGGCGGGAGGCCGUCGGAAUUCUGUGACUUUCUGGGGUGCAGGCAGCACAACGCUGUGCAGUGCGUGGACGGAAGCCAGACAGCAUUGCUAUGCACCGCUGGGCGGUCCCUAAGUUUCCAUGCCUGGUUGUUCUCAAGGUUUGCUCCGGAUCUGAUAGUCGCCCAUGACCCCUUUCCGCAGGUACAUGGCUUGUCUUGGGUUCGCGGUGGAACAUCCAAGUGCCAAGUUGGGCUGGCAAAACAGCCAAGGUGAAGGAGUUGGAGUCACUGCGGUACUCGUGAGGAAUAUCUUUAGAGAACAGUCGGUUCUUCAGAACCAAAGAGCACAGGACUUUAAAGCACCCCACUAGUGUCUCGUGAGUGGCCCGACACUAAAGGAUCCUGAAGCUCUCCGCCGUUUUGAGUUUAUGGCAGCUGUUUAUUGUAAGCCCUGGAGGUGCGCUGCUGUGCAGGCUGCAGGACUCUCUCCAAAGUUUCUCAGGAUGACUACACAAACUUACUUAUGUGCUGCCUUUAGAGGAUGUUGCCACAUUGGGCCCCUGGCGACAUUGUGGCAAAAUUUUUUCCUUCCCCAUUUCUGCUUUUUCCUGAGUGACUUGUCUUUUACCAUCAUUCCUCUUGGGUUGCACUGAUCAAUUUAGUUCCCUCUCUCCCCCUAGGGCUAUCCAGCAUGUAGUCGGGGGUCUACAAGGGACACAAGGAGAAGUGGGUUUGUUUGUUUGUUUGUUGUUUUUUUGUUUUUUUGCAGCCUGGCAGCCAACCUCUGGAGAUCAUCGCACAUAAUGGCCUGCAAAUGUCGUUAUCAGGCACCAGAAAGCAGAGAACUCAUGCGACACUUCGAUGGGGUAGUAUUUCAUUUUGUACCUUGAGGCUUCCAAGGAUACUGGAGACUCAGACAUCAUCUCAUGCUAAGCUGUUUGAGACAAACCACAAGUGAUCCCAGGACUUGGAAGCUGGAGGCAGGCGGAUCAGAAUUCUAAGGACAACACAGCAAGUGUGAGACUAGCCUGAGGUACAGGAGACCUAGUCUCAGGAUUUAAAAAAAUAAAAUAAAAUAAAGACAAGCCUUG
ensembl:processed_transcript